rnacentral:snRNA from 1 species
GGAUGUGAGGGCAAUCUGGCUGCAACAUCUGUCACCCCAUUGAUCGCCAGGGUUGAUUCGGCUGAUCUGCCUGGCUAGGCGGGUGUCCCCUUCCUCCCUCACCGCUCCAUGUGCAUCCCUCCCAAAGCUGUGAGCUUGGUCGAAGAGGACAGCCUUCCCCGAAUAGAGACCGAUCAGUCUUAGGUCAAGGGUAUAUGAGUAGCUGCGCUCCCCUGCUAGACCCUCCAAACAAGCUCUCAAGAAUACAAAUGUAACACUUUAAAUUUCCUUAAAAUUUCUAAUGAUAAAGAAGUAUACACACUAAAUAAUAAACAACAGAAAUAUUUAACUGCAAAGUU